UUAGUCUCAGUUCAUUCAAUACAGUCUUUUAUUUCGAAGGUCAGUUUUGGGCCUGUGACAGGAAGUCAGCCAUGUUGUUUUAGUUCUUAGUAAGCCACAUGUGGGGAUGUUCAUCCACUGACAUCUGCCUUCCGUUUAUACCAUCGACACCACAGUCAGUAGAACCUACCCUGCUGGACAUGUGGGGGUUGACAGGUCCUCACAAUCAUCCUCCACCCACUCUCUCUCUCCUACACCAAAGUAGAAAAUAAGAGCAAUGGUGACAUGAUUUUUUCAGUAUUGUGCAUUAGGAUGUUUUUGUAUCUGUAUUUCAUCAGUAGGGAAAAAAUUAAAUAAAAAUCUGUGUGCUCUGGCA